AUGGCUUCCAUGACUCAGCCCAUGCCGUAUUACCCCACCACCAACCCCAUCAUGCACGCGCAGCCGGCCACCACGUCCAGGGGCUCCUUCGCGCCGGUCUUCACCGUGCUGGGCGUCAUCUCCUUCCUCGCUGUCGUCGCCUGCGUCGCGGGGCGGCUGUGCGGCCGCCGGCUCUCCAAGAAGAAGGCCUACGCCGACCAGCACUACUACGGCACUAACACGGUGGGCGGCGACCUGGAGAAGGGCUUCGAGGUCAAGUACCCGCCGAUGAAGCCCAUGCCGAGCUCGCGCGCCGUGGUCCACGACAUGGACGACGGCUUCGAGAUCAAGUUCGCGCCGGGGAAGCCCGCCGCGUGGAAGACCGACGCCAAGGCCGACAACAGAGGGCGCCCGCAGCAGCAGCAGCACCACCACCAGCAUCCCCAGGCCGGCAUGCCGAAGGAGUACGCCGGUUUCAGGUACCCCGCGGCUGCCAACGGCGCGGUCAGGCAAGGGCAAGUAAGGGGCGGAACGUUCGUCUCCGCAAAGCCCGGUUCAUGA
rnacentral:rRNA from 1 species